rnacentral:rRNA from 1 species
UACAUAGGUCCCGAGCGUUGUCCGGAUUUAUUGGGCGUAAAGCGAGCGCAGGUGGUUUAUUAAGUCUGGUGUAAAAGGCAGUGGCUCAACCAUUGUAUGCAUUGGAAACUGGUAGACUUGAGUGCAGGAGAGGAGAGUGGAAUUCCAUGUGUAGCGGUGAAAUGCGUAGAUAUAUGGAGGAACGCCGGUGGCGAAAGCGGCUCUCUGGCCUGUAACUGACACUGAGGCUCGAAAGCGUGGGGAGCAAACAGG